GCAAACUGGCUUCAGUGGAUUUUGAGAUCUUUGGGAACGUGCAGGGUAGGUCACAGGACUCCAGUGUGUAACAGUAUGUUAGUGUGAAAGGUACACACAUUUCAGUGCAGUUUUAUCGUUAAUGUCCAGUUACAUUAAAGAUAAAACUACAAAAGUGAACCAUUUUGAACUGUUGUUAAAACCAUUUUACUAUUGUUAUUGUUAUUCUGUAUAGAAACUGACUCUAAAGGGGAGUUUGUCUUUUUCAGGUGUUUGCUUCAGAAUGGUGAGUGUUAUGUUACAUAUCUUAAUAACACUGACUACAUAAGAAAAAAUGGAAAUGCCAAGCUCUUGACACAAGGAGCACUCAGUCAAAAAGGGAGCAAAAGGAGACAGGUAUUAUCAGGCUGAUCACAUAACUUUAAGCUGACUCUGAACAUGAAAGUUAGUGACUUUGUUAGGAUUUAAUGAUUAAGUAACACACAGAACAUUAACAAAGAUAAGGAGGGACAUGAGUUCAAUGUGUCAUAAACAAAAGAGCUUAUAACAGUCAGAAUUUAUAACAACCUUUUAAUACAGGUAAAGAGGGUGUCUAAUUUAGGAGACCAAUUUAAAUGAAUGAAUAAUUGAUGGAUGAAUGUUUCUCUGUUGCAGUACACGGAGGAUCACGGACAGUCUUUGGGUCUGAGUGGAUGGGUGAAGAACACUAGACAAGGGACUGUGGUCGGACAAGUCCAGGGUCCACGAGAUCGAGUUAAUGACAUGUGAGUCCUAACCAACCAAUCAGAGAGCACUCAGUUGUUGAACCAACCAAUCAUAACACUAACCUUUACAAACGAACUAAUCAGAACACUUACCUUCCUAAACAGACCAAUCAAGGCCUGACUCCUCCUGUGUAACCUGGUCUCACCAGGUCUUGGUUUGAUGUGAACCUUGUCUCUGCCUUGCUCACUCAGUGUUCUUCUUUUGUUUUUUGUUUUUUUUGUUCUUUUAGGAAACACUGGCUAAAGAACGUUGGCAGUCCUAGUUCUCGGAUUGACCGAGUUGUCUUCUCAAACGAAAGAGACAUUCCUAAACUAGAGCUCCGCGGCUUUUCCACCCGCUACUGAGCAUGCUCAGUGACAUCACAGUUCAACAGCUGUCACUUCUGCAGAAAAACUUCAGCUCUCUGAAAGCAGAGCAGAUUCAGUCAGUCAGUUCAAUAAGUUGAUCCGUUCUGAAAUAUUUUAAACAGUCACACAGACAAAAAUUGACAAUAGGCCUUGUAGUAAAGCUCCACCAAAAGCCCAUUAGCCUAUCCUAACUCUGGCCCAUAUCAGCUGACAGCUCAGCUGAUUAUCUUCUAACAUCCAAUGGUCAAUUUUUUUGUUGUUGUUUUUUUUCUAUUUAAACAUCCUUAGGUUGCCCACUCUUUCUGCUUCCUCAAUAAACCACAUUGCAACCUGCCUCUACCCCAGCUCCCCCUUUUCCCGCCCUGGG